rnacentral:rRNA from 1 species
AGCUGGUCGGAAACGAAGGAAGGGCUUCCCACGAUCGGGGCCGUCCGACCGCGAGCUUCCGUUCCGCCAGACGCAAUUGUCUCUCGCCCGAAGGACGCCGCAGCCGGUCGGGCAGUGCAAACGCGACGGCCUGAGGGGYGGACGACGGCAGGUGGCCGGUGGCGUGCCUCGUGCGCGUCGCCGGUUGUUAGCCAGUCCGCCAGUGGCUCGUCGCUCGACCGAGGUGUCACGAGGCCCUUCGGGGCUCUCUCGUCUCCUCCCCACGGAAGUCGGGACAUACCGUCGCAAGCGAAGGACGCCGUCCCGUCGCACUCAGUCCGAGUGGACGGACGAACGCUCGGCGCCGUUGGCGACGGCGGGCCCGUCGGAGGCUGGAGGCUGGCGGCGAGUAGGUCGGUCACCCACCCGACCCGUCUUGAAACACGGACCAAGGAGUCUAACAUGUGCGCAAGUCAAUGGGUCUUGAACAGGCCCAGAGGCGCAAUGAAAGCAAAGGUCGUGCGCACGCCGACCGAGUUGGGAUCCCCCUCUAUAAGAAGGGGGCGCACCAACGACCCGCCCUAUCCGGCUCGCCGGUUGGGCGGAGUGUGAGCGUACACGUUGGGACCCGAAAGAUGGUGAACUAUGCCCGGACAGGACGAGGCCAGAG